rnacentral:rRNA from 1 species
AACGAACGCUGGCGGCAUGCCUAACACAUGCAAGUCGAACGAGACCUUCGGGUCUAUUGGCGCACGGGUGCGUACCGCGUGGGAACCUGCCCUUAGGUUCGGAAUAACUCCCCGAAAGGGAUGCUAAUACCGGAUAAUGUCUUCGCACCAAAGAUUUAUCGCCUUUGGAUGGGCCCGCGUUGGAUUAGCUAGUUGGUAGGGUAAAAGCCUACCAAGGCGACGAUGCAUAGCUGGUCUGAGAGGAUGAUCAUCCACACUGGGACUGAGACACGGCCCAGACUCCUACGCGAGGCAGCAGUGGGGAACAUUGGACAAUGGGCGAAAGCCUGAUCCAGCAAUGCCGCGUGAGUGAUGAAGGCCUUAGGGUUGUAAAGCUCUUUUACCCGGGAUGAUAAUGACAGUACCGGGAGAAUAAGCUCCGGCUAACUCCGUG